ACUCAAAUGAAUUGACGGGGGCCCGCACAAGCAGUGGAGUAUGUGGUUUAAUUCGAAGCAACGCGAAGAACCUUACCAGGGCUUGACAUCCCUUGACGACGUAAGAGAUUACGUUUCCCUUCGGGGCAAGGAGACAGGUGGUGCAUGGUUGUCGUCAGCUCGUGUCGUGAGAUGUUGGGUUAAGUCCCGCAACGAGCGCAACCCUUACUGUUAGUUGCCAGCAUGUUAUGAUGGGCACUUUAACGGGACUGCCGGUGACAAAUCGGAGGAAGGUGGGGACGACGUCAAAUCAUCAUGCCCCUUAUGUCCUGGGCUACACACGUACUACAAUGGCUAUUACAGAGGGAAGCAAUAUCGCAAGGUGGAGCAAACCCCAAAAAAUAGUCCCAGUUCAGAUUGUGGGCUGAAACUCGCCCACAUGAAGUCGGAAUUGCUAGUAAUGGCAGGUCAGCAUACUGCCGUGAAUACGUUCCCGGGCCUUGCACACACCGCCCGU
rnacentral:rRNA from 1 species